rnacentral:rRNA from 1 species
UACGUAGGGGGCAAGCGUUGUUCGGAUUCAUUGGGCGUAAAGAGCGUGUAGGCGGCCAGAUAAGUCCGCUGUGAAAUCUCGAGGCUCAACUUCGAGCUGUCGGUGGAAACUGUCUGGCUAGAGUCCGGAAGAGGAGAAUGGAAUUCCUGGUGUAGCGGUGAAAUGCGCAGAUAUCAGGAAGAACACCCGUGGCGAAGGCGGUUCUCUGGGACGGUACUGACGCUGAGACGCGAAAGCGUGGGGAGCGAACAGG